ACCACCCGCCAAACCGAAUCCCCCUCACCCCAUCGUCCCCCCCCACCCCCCAACCCCAACGUCCCACCACCCCACGAUCAUUACCCCCCAGGGUCCGACCCCCUUGCCAUCAUCCCCCCUCCCCAGCGUUCUCUUCUGUACGGAUUCAUCACACAGGCUGCGGUGUUGCUUCUCACUACUUGUCUUCCAAAUGGCACCGUCCGAGACUGUCGAUAUUGGUCUUUUCCGACUGAAGGGUUAAUGGUGCUGAAAAUGAUUGAAUACAUGUGGACAUUGAGACUAUAUUGUAUCCUGCAAAGCAAAAACUAGAGAGUAUGCAAUACAUAUAUUGUCUCAACUCCUCACACACCUCUCCGUUCCUGCUGAUUCCUCUUCAGUCUCUCUUUAAUUAAAGAAUAUGCAAUACAUAUUAUAUUGUCGCUCUUUCUUUUUAUGAGCAAUAAUUGUAGGUACUAGAUUCUAGUACUUAAGUUAAAACCACUAGUGCCUUGUGAUUUUAUUUGGUUCAGUGGAGUCGCUAAUUCAUCUA